ensembl:lncRNA
GUAAGAGAAUCUGGGGGACCCGAGGAGGGAGGCCCCUAGAGCCGGGGAGAGGAGGCCGGGGAAGAGAAGAGGGAGGAGGAAGGGGGCAGAGGGGGCGUUGUAAUCGGCCCCGCCCCCAUUUAAGAGCUGAAGGCGGCCGAAGAGCAGGAGGAGUGGCAAAAAGAAGUAACAUGGAGGGAAGGAAGGAAAAACCAGACUUUCUUCAUGAGAGCCUUGGAGGUGCAAUGCUUGUUACCCUCCUGCAGUGUGGUGCCUUCUCCAAGCCCUGGAUGGAAGAGGAAAGAGUUGGAAGUUGGGAGCCUCCUGAAAAGCUGCCUAUGAAGUGGUAAAAGCUGAAGAAACUGGUACCCUGACUGGAGUAGAUGGCCAAUGACCAGAAUUGAAUCACCUGGCAUCUGGCUUUUCUUGAUAUUAGUUCCGGAUUUAUGUGAAAGGGUCCUUUAACGUCUCCAAGAAUGGUUCCAAUAGAGUUGGCGGAGAUAACAGAUGUGUAUCACUUUGGUAGAGAUGCUCUUUAAAAGAAGAAAGCCAGCCAUAUUUGCUUAGGUCUAGGACCCCUCCUUGGUGGUUGAUGAAGGAGGGAGGAAGGUACAACCCCAAGCCGAAUAGGCCCCCCAUAGUUUCCUAGUAAUGCAGUAAACAAAUCUAUGAUGCUUGUUGAAUAAUCUUCCAAUAAUUGCAGUCAUUAAAAUCAUCACACAGUCUACCGUCACCUUCCUUCCUUUGACAUACCAGUCUUCCCUUUAAUUGUUAAUGCAUUUUUGGUUCACAUAAACAGAUCAAGGCAAGCUUAAAAUAUAUGGCCC